GAUGAAGAACGCAGCGAAAUGCGAUAAGUAAUGUGAAUUGCAGAAUUCAGUGAAUCAUCGAAUCUUUGAACGCACAUUGCGCCCGCCAGUAUUCUGGCGGGCAUGCCUGUCCGAGCGUCAUUUCAACCCUCGAACCCCUCCGGGGGGUCGGCGUUGGGGAUCGGGAACCCCUAAGACGGGAUCCCGGCCCCGAAAUACAGUGGCGGUCUCGCCGCAGCCUCUCCUGCGCAGUAGUUUGCACAACUCGCACCGUGAGCGCGGCGCGUCCACGUCCGUAAAACACCCAACUUCUGAAAUGUUGACCUCGGAUCAGGUAGGAAUACCCGCUGAACUUAAGCAUAUCAAUAAGCGGAGGA
rnacentral:misc_RNA from 1 species